CCCUUAGAUGUUCUGGGCCGCACGCGCGGUACACUGACGAAUGCAACGAGCUUAUAACCUUGGCCGAAAGGUCUGGGUAAUCUCCAAAUUUCGUCGUGAUGGGGAUAGAUUAUUGCAAUUAUUAAUCUUCAACGAGGAAUGCCUAGUAAGCGCAAGUCAUCAGCUUGCGUUGAUUACGUCCCUGCCCUUUGUACACACCGCCCGUCGCUCCUACCGAUUGAAUGGUCCGGUGAAGCGUUCGGACCGUGGCCUUUGGACGGUUCGCCGUCUGUUGGCUGCGGGAAGUUCGUUAAACCUUAUCAUUUAGAGGAAGGAGAAGUCGUAACA
rnacentral:rRNA from 1 species